UCCAAUCCAUUGUUUGGCUAACGGUCUUUGCAAAACAGUGGUAGGCAUUUGUAAAGGGUCUUAAGACAUGUCGCCAAAGUUCUUUUUGAUUCAACAAUGCUAGCGACCGCAUGAUCAUGGUUACCAAUAUAUAUUUGUGCAUAGCAUAAACCUUCUUGAGUUUUAUUCAGACUGUUUGAUUGUAUAUUUAAAGAAUGUUACCGUUUGACUGCAGCGCGCGUGUUAGGCUCAUUAAUAAUUCAUGAGGUGGGAGGGGUCAAAUGAGGGGGCGGUGACAGAUGGAUGGAGAAGAGUGUGAGAGGGAGAGAGAGCAGAGAUCACACAACCAACCCGAGUCACUGAUAUCUGACCCAGCGAGAGGAACACAGACAGAUAUGAAUAAAAGAGAUGCUUGGCAAAUAGCCACAAUGAUAUUUUGACAUCAAUCAUUGUGUGUUUGAUUAACAAUUGUCCAGUCCCCCCCCCCCCCCGGGAUGGAGAUACAACAUUGUGUGUCAACCUGGAUUUAAGCGUACAUUGAGAAAGGUCCGCAAAGUGGUCCCAGACAAAACACCAUUAUUAAGUGUUUUUUAGCAGGCAGGCAGGCAGGUCAGCAGCAGCAGC